rnacentral:rRNA from 1 species
UACGAAGGGGGGCUAGCGUUGUUCGGAUUCAUUGGGCGUAAAGAGCGUGUAGGCGGCCAGGUAGGUCGGUUGUGAAAACUGGAGGCUCAACCUUCAGAGGUCGACCGAAACCAUCUGGCUAGAGUCCGGGAGAGGAGAGUGGAAUUCCUGGUGUAGCGGUGAAAUGCGCAGAUAUCAGGAAGAACACCCGUGGCGAAAGCGGCUCUCUGGAACGGUACUGACGCUGAGACGCGAAAGCGUGGGGAGCGAACAGG